rnacentral:rRNA from 1 species
AUGAACGCUAGCUACAGGCUUAACACAUGCAAGUCGAGGGGCAGCAUGGUCUUAGCUUGCUAAGGCCGAUGGCGACCGGCGCACGGGUGAGUAACACGUAUCCAACCUGCCGUCUACUCUUGGACAGCCUUCUGAAAGGAAGAUUAAUACAAGAUGGCAUCAUGAGUCCGCAUGUUCACAUGAUUAAAGGUAUUCCGGUAGACGAUGGGGAUGCGUUCCAUUAGAUAGUAGGCGGGGUAACGGCCCACCUAGUCUUCGAUGGAUAGGGGUUCUGAGAGGAAGGUCCCCCACAUUGGAACUGAGACACGGUCCAAACUCCUACGGGAGGCAGCAGUGAGGAAUAUUGGUCAAUGGGCGAGAGCCUGAACCAGCCAAGUAGCGUGAAGGAUGACUGCCCUAUGGGUUGUAAACUUCUUUUAUAAAGGAAUAAAGUCGGGUAUGGAUACCCGUUUGCAUGUACUUUAUGAAUAAGGAUCGGCUAACUCCGUGCCAGCAGCCGCGGUAAUACGGAGGAUCCGAGCGUUAUCCGGAUUUAUUGGGUUUAAAGGGAGCGUAGAUGGAUGUUUAAGUCAGUUGUGAAAGUUUGCGGCUCAACCGUAAAAUUGCAGUUGAUACUGGAUAUCUUGAGUGCAGUUGAGGCAGGCGGAAUUCGUGGUGUAGCGGUGAAAUGCUUAGAUAUCACGAAGAACUCCGAUUGCGAAGGCAGCCUGCUAAGCUGCAACUGACAUUGAGGCUCGAAAGUGUGGGUAUCAAACAGGAUUAGAUACCCUGGUAGUCCACACGGUAAACGAUGAAUACUCGCUGUUUGCGAUAUACUGCAAGCGGCCAAGCGAAAGCGUUAAGUAUUCCACCUGGGGAGUACGCCGGCAACGGUGAAACUCAAAGGAAUUGACGGGGGCCCGCACGAGCGGAGGAACAUGUGGUUUAAUUCGAUGAUACGCGAGGAACCUUACCCGGGCUUAAAUUGCAGAUGAAUUACGGUGAAAGCCGUAAGCCGCAAGGCAUCUGUGAAGGUGCUGCAUGGUUGUCGUCAGCUCGUGCCGUGAGGUGUCGGCUUAAGUGCCAUAACGAGCGCAACCCUUGUUGUCAGUUACUAACAGGUUCCGCUGAGGACUCUGACAAGACUGCCAUCGUAAGAUGUGAGGAAGGUGGGGAUGACGUCAAAUCAGCACGGCCCUUACGUCCGGGGCUACACACGUGUUACAAUGGGGGGUACAGAGGGCCGCUACCACGCGAGUGGAUGCCAAUCCCCAAAACCUCUCUCAGUUCGGACUGGAGUCUGCAACCCGACUCCACGAAGCUGGAUUCGCUAGUAAUCGCGCAUCAGCCACGGCGCGGUGAAUACGUUCCCGGGCCUUGUACACACCGCCCGUCAAGCCAUGGGAGCCGGGGGUACCUGAAGUGCGUAACCGCGAGGAGCGCCCUAGGGUAAAACUGGUGACUGGGGCU